CGGGGUGUAGCGCAGAUGGCAGCGCGCCGCGUUUGGGACGCGGAGGUCAGCGGUUCAAGUCCGCUCACCCCGA
rnacentral:tRNA from 1 species